GAUAAACGCUAGCGGCAGGCUUAACACAUGCAAGUCGAGGGGCAGCAUAGAUUGUAGCAAUACAAUUGGUGGCGACCGGCGCACGGGUGCGUAACGCGUAUGCAACCUACCCGUCACAGGGGAUAAUCCGGAGAAAUCUGGUCUAAUACCCCAUAACAUAUGGAUCGGCCUCGGUUCAUGUUGAAAUUUUCGGAGGUGACGGAUGGGCAUGCGUAGCAUUAGCUUGUUGGUGAGGUAACGGCUUACCAAGGCGACGAUGCUUAGGGGGACUGAGGGCUUUUCCCCCCAAACCGGUACUGGGGCACAGACCAGACUCCUACGGGAGGCAGCAGUGCGGAAUAUUGGUCAAUGGGCGCAAGCCUGAACCGGCCAUGCCGCGUGCAGGAUGACGGCUCUAUGAGUUGUAAACUGCUUUUGUACGAGGGUAAAGUGGGUUACGUGUAACCUUUUGAAAGUAUCGUACGAAUAAGGAUCGGCUAACUCCGUGCCAGCCGCCGCGGUAA
rnacentral:rRNA from 1 species